UGGAAGCAGAUGCAGAGAUUCAAGGCCAAGUUUUCUUUGUUUUUUAAUGUUUGAAUAUCUAUGUUCAGUCAUAUCAUUUUGUGUUACUUAAGACUGGGUAAUUUAAAAAAAAAGAAAGAAAGAAAGAAACAACAACAAGAACAAAACAAUUUGGCUACUUAUUGAACUUAUUAGAAGAAAUGACAGUUCAGGACACUGGUGGCCCACAGGUUAACAUUUUAGUCCUCAUUUGAGUGAGAAGAUCUUGCAAGAGAGAAAUUCAAUAAAGUUAAAGUCCUCCUAUUGAGGUUUCAGUCACUGACUAGAAUUGAAAGGAAAAGCAACAGCAAAAGUGCAUCUGAAGGUGUAUUUGUUUGUGGUAGGUAGCGGCUAAUACAAAGACUCAUAACUGAAUGAAAUGUCAAGUAUUAGUGACUGUGUGCUGAGAUUUGAAAGGGAUGCUUAUUUCAAACUUCCCUAUCUCAGGCAACUUUAAGGAAGAAUUGUUGCAAGACCAAGGAAGCUGAUGGAGGGAAGAGAGUUGUGAUACACCAACUGCCAAAUGUGACACCGCUGUUGUCCUCAUCGGCUCACUAUGAUCGGGGCUAUCCGCAGAAGAUGAAACCAGUCAGAAUUCCAGCGUAUGUGGAGCAGGGGAUCUGGAAGCCAUUGCAACUGCAAUAACAUCUGGCAAUUGGUCUCCAUUUGUAGGUAACUUGGGUAGGUUCCCCAGUGAACAGCUCCAUAUGCGUGAAUAUGUUGACAACAUUAAUUGCACUACAGCGAAUAUGAAUAAGUUUUAAAAAAUAAAGAGAGGAGGUGAAGUUGCCAGUGAGUCAGUGUGUGGGGCAGAAGGGAGCAGCAGAGGAAGAGAGUGGAGGAUGGGCAAGAUCAGAACAUGCUUUACAAAGGCAAGGGAGUA